CUCACGUUGGAGUCGUGCAGCGAACCUUCUCUCUUCUUCUUCUUCCUUUCAGUUCGUUAUACAGAGCUGUGACUCAUCUUGGUUCCUUGUUCGGUCUCAGUUGAGCGAGUGUUUUGUCUUCCUCUAUUCCUUGCAUCAGCUGGAGAAUUCCAUUUUCUCUCCCUGUUCUGCUGUAGGUUCUGUCUUCUUCGUUACCUUUGCUGUUAUUGUUGUUUCAGGACGCGUGGAGGAAGAGGAUCCCGAUAGAAAUUAAAUAAAUAAUAUUUUGGAGAUUUGAAAUCACAACAGAUUGGUUAGCUGACGCCGAUUUCAUCAACGACCUCAAAAAGGGCAACUAACUACAGUGGGUGGACAUUUUGAUUGAAUUUUCAGGAGAUCCUAGUUACAGGGGAGGUUCUGCCGAAAUUUCUACAAAAACGUUGACACUUUCUUAUGACAAUGAAUUUAAAGAAGUUAUUUUAAUUUUUAUAUGAUUUGAUUGAAUUUUAUUCUUCUCUUGAAAAAUGAAAUAAAUAUUCAUUUGGAGGCUUACGGGAAGGUGAGAAUGGUUCACACCCGUGCCGGUCACCCUCCAUUUUGGGGC